GCGGCCAUGGUGUAGUGGUUAGCAUUAAUGCCUUCCAAGCAUUAGAGUCGGGUUCGAUUCCCGAUGGCCGCA
rfam:Podospora anserina genomic DNA, chromosome 3.